GCUGGUGCUUUAGAUAGAUACAGGACUUUAAUUAAAACCUGGGCGGCAGCUGUGCUAUUGCAAGGCACAGAUGCCGCUUACAUA
rnacentral:sRNA from 1 species